rnacentral:lncRNA from 1 species
UAGAAUGCCAUGGGACAAACAGAGAUUUAUUCAAAGGAUUUUUAUUUAUUUAUUUAUUUAUUUUUAGCAGUAGAUCCUAUAGUAAAGACAUUAAUAAAAUCUGAGUUGUUUUUGUUUGUUUGUUUGUUUGUUUGUUUGUUUGUUGGGGGGGGAAGGAGGUCUGUUUUGCUUUACUUGCUUAGCCUUUUUAGGACUACAUUUGAUUUUGAGAGACCACAAUAUUCCAAUACGUAGUUCCUGUUCUGAUGCUCAUGCUUCAGAUUCCCAGCCAGGAGCUGGAGCAAGGAAUGCUCUGGGGAAACUCUGAGCCUCACUUCAGUGGCUUCUUGGGACUCAGUUUGAAGGUGUAUCUGCCAAAAGAAAUGCACCAGGGAAAUCUGCAUCUCAAGAAGAGAGUGGCUACAGGUUCCGUUGUCCUGUAUUUUGUCAUCUGCAAGAGAGCACAAAAACAAACUUGCAGCCUGAUACCAGCUGCUUCCCAUGGAAGCCUUUCUUAGAGUACUACAACUCCUAGUUCCUGACCUUGCUGCCAUUUGCUCACAACAUCUCUUUGACACUAGUGUCACAGCUUGCUGAACCCUGAAAUGUCAUUAAAUCUUUGUAUAAUGGUAAGUUCAUCAAGUGCAUCACAUUCAGUUUUAUAUUGGCUGCAAUGACAUUUAUAUUGGCUACAAUACGACAUUAUUGAAUGCAACUAACACUAUUGAGCCUGCUCAGAAACAAGCCUAACCUACUAAGAUUGCAAUGAAUUAAAAUAAUAAUAACAAUAAUGUAGAGUGAGAAUUUUUGGCAUAAGUAAUUGAUCAGAUUGGUUAUAUGGAAGGCAGAUCAUGUUUAUAGGAUUUAAGUUGGAAGUGGUUAUGACAAUUUCAAAAUUCAACCAGAAUUUUCUCAUCAUCAUUGGAUUCUGUGUAUAGAUCUCUACAUAUUUUCUACUGAAACUGGACCAUUGCUCAAGAAUGGCAAAAUUCAUGGGGAGGACAAGGAGAGGACAGAGAUGUGCAGUUCAAGCACUUGGCUGGAAGCAGGCGACUGGCUCCUUCUGAUGUAUGUUUCAUUUGUAGAAAAUAAAUGUCUAAUGCUAAAGAAAUAUCA